UGACUUGUGGAUAGGGGUGAAAGGCUAAUCAAGCCUGGUGAUAGCUGGUUCUYCCCCGAAAGCUAUUUAGGUAGCGCCUCGGACGAAUACCAUAGGGGGUAGAGCACUGUUUCGGCUAGGGGGUCAUCCCGACUUACCAAACCGAUGCAAACUCCGAAUACCUAUGAGUACUAUCCGGGAGACAGACUGCGGGUGCUAACGUCCGUAGUCAAGAGGAAAACAAUCCAGACCGCCAGCUAAGGCCCCAAAAUCAUAGUUAAGUGGGAAACGAUGUGGGAAGGCAUAGACAGCUAGGAGGUUGGCUUAGAAGCAGCCACCCUUUAAAGAAAGCGUAAUAGCUCACUAGUCGAGUCGGCCUGCGCGGAAGAUGUAACGGGGCUAAAACUAUGUGCCGAAGCUGCGGAUGUAUACUUUGUAUACGUGGUAGGGGAGCGUUCUGUAAGCCGAUGAAGGUGUGUUGAGAAGCAUGCUGGAGGUAUCAGAAGUGCGAAUGCUGACGUGAGUAACGACAAAACGGGUGAAAAACCCGUUCGCCGAAAGACCAAGGGUUCCAGUCCAACGUUAAUCGGGGCUGGGUGAGUCGACCCCUAAGGCGAGGCCGAAAGGCGUAGUCGAUGGGAAAAUGGUUAAUAUUCCAUUACUUCUGUGUAAUGCGAUGAGAGGACGGAGAAGGCUAAAUCAGCCUGGCGUUGGUUGUCCAGGUGAAAGGAUGUAGGCAUGUAUCUUAGGCAAAUCCGGGGUACUCUAUGCUGAGAUCUGAUAGCAAGCUGUACUUGUACAGCGAAGUGGUUGAUGCCAUGCUUCCAGGAAAAGUCUCUAAGU
rnacentral:rRNA from 1 species